AUUGAACGCUGGCGGCAGGCCUAACACAUGCAAGUCGAACGAGUGGCGGACGGGCGGGCAAUGCUUUGGAAUCUGGCUUAUGGAGGGGGCAGACGACGGGAAACCGUGGCUAAUACCGCGUACCAUAGGAUGGGCCCAAGGGGGAGUAGGUAGUUGGGGGGGUAAUGGCCUACCAAGCCGACGAUGUCUAGCUGGUCUGAGAGGAAGACCGGCCACACCGGGACGGAGACACGGCCCGGACUCCUACGGGAGGCAGCAGUGGGGAAUAUUGCGCAAUGGGGGAAACCUGACGGAGCCAUGCCGCGUGAAUGAAGAAGGCUUUCGGGUUGUAAAGUUCUUUCGGUGACGAGGCGUUAUUCACAGAAGAAGCAACGGCUAACUACGUGCCAGCAGCCGCGGUAAUAC
rnacentral:rRNA from 1 species